GCCCGGUUAGCUCAGUCGGAAAUUCACUCGCCUUGUAAGCGAGGUGUCCCGGGUUCGAGUCCCGGACUGGCCA
rnacentral:tRNA from 1 species